CCUACGGGAGGCAGCAGUGGGGAAUAUUGCACAAUGGGGGAAACCCUGAUGCAGCAACGCCGCGUGAGUGAAGAAGUAUUUCUGUAUGUAAAGCUCUAUCAGCAGGGAAGAAAAUGACGGUACCUGAGUAAGACGCCCCGGCUAACUACGGGCCAGCAGCCGCGGUACUACGGAGGGGGCAAGCGUUAUCCGGAUUUACUGGGUGUAAAGGGAGCGUAGACGGGGAUACAAGUCUGAAGUGAAAGCCCGGGGCUCAACCCCGGGACUGCUUUGGAAACUGUGUUGCUGGAGUGCUGGAGAGGCAAGCGGAAUGCCUAGUGUAGCGGUGAAAUGCGUAGAUAUUAGGAAGAACACCAGUGGCGAAGGCGGCUUGCUGGACAGUAACUGACGUUGAGGCUCGAAAGCGUGGGGAGCAAACAGGAUUAGAUACCCUGGUAGUC
rnacentral:rRNA from 1 species